rnacentral:rRNA from 1 species
UACAGAGGGUGCAAGCGUUGCUCGGAAUCAUUGGGCGUAAAGGGUAGGUAGGUGGUCUCAUUUGUCUGGGGUGAAAGCCCGGGGCUCAACCCCGGAACAGCAUUUGAAACUCUCUAUCUAGAGGGUGGUCGGAGAAAACGGAAUUCCACAAGUAGCGGUGAAAUGCGUAGAUAUGUGGAAGAACACCAGUGGCGAAGGCGGUUUUCUAGAUUACUCCUGACGCUGAGGCGCGAAAGCUAGGGGAGCAAACAGG